rnacentral:rRNA from 1 species
GUCUAAUCUGCCCAAUGAUAUUUUAUUUAAUGGCUGCAGUAUUUAUAACUGUACAAAGGUAGCAUAAUAAUUAGUUUUUUAAUUGAAAACUAGAAUGAAAGAUUAAAUGAAAUAUAUACUAUAUAAAUAAAAUUAAAAAUUAAAAUUAAAAUUUAAGUAAAAAUUCUUAAAUUAUUUUAAAAGACGAGAAGACCCUAUAGAAUUUUAUUUUUUGUUAUUUUAAAAUUUAAUAAUAAAUUUAAAUAAAUAAUAAAAAAUUUAAUUGGGGUAAUUUUAAAAUUAAAUUAAUUUUUAUUUAAAAAACAUAAAUUAAUGAAU